CCUACGGUGGGCAGCAGUGGGGAAUAUUGGACAAUGGGCGAAAGCCUGAUCCAGCCAUGCCGCGUGUGUGAAGAAGGCCUUCGGGUUGUAAAGCACUUUCAGUGGGGAAGAAAGCCUUGGGGCUAAUACCCUCGAGGAAGGACAUCACCCACAGAAGAAGCACCGGCUAACUCCGUGCCAGCAGCCGCGGUAAUACGGAGGGUGCGAGCGUUAAUCGGAAUUACUGGGCGUAAAGCGCGCGUAGGCGGUCUGAUAAGCCGGUUGUGAAAGCCCCGGGCUCAACCUGGGAACGGCAUCCGGAACUGUCAGGCUAGAGUGCAGGAGAGGAAGGUAGAAUUCCCGGUGUAGCGGUGAAAUGCGUAGAGAUCGGGAGGAAUACCAGUGGCGAGGGCGGCCUUCUGGACUGACACUGACGCUGAGGUGCGAAAGCGUGGGUAGCAAACAGGAUUAGAUACCCGAGUAGUC
rnacentral:rRNA from 1 species